CGCGUCUGAUUAGAUAGUUGGUGGGGUAACGGCCUACCAAGUCGACGAUCAGUAGCCGGACUGAGAGGUUGAACGGCCACAUUGGGACUGAGAUACGGCCCAGACUCCUACGGGAGGCAGUAGUGGGGAAUAUUGCACAAUGGGGGGAACCCUGAUGCAGCGACGCCGCGUGAAGGAAGAAGUAUCUCGGUAUGUAAACUUCUAUCAGCAGGGAAGAAAAUGACGGUACCUGACUAAGAAGCCCCGGCUAACUCCGUGCCAGCAGCCGCGGUAAUACGGAGGAUGCGAGCGUUAUCCGGAUUUAUUGGGUUUAAAGGGUGCGCAGGCGGCGCGGUAAGUCAGCGGUAAAAGCCCGGGGCUCAACCCCGGCGAGCCGUUGAAACUGCCGUGCUAGAGUAAGGUCGAGGUAUGCGGAAUGCGCGGUGUAGCGGUGAAAUGCAUAGAUAUCGCGCAGAACUCCGAUUGCGAAGACAGCAUACCGGUCCUUUACUGACGCUCAGGCACGAAAGCGUGGGGAUCAAACAGGCUUAGAUACCCUGGUAGUCCACGCAGUAAACGAUGAAUACUGGGUGUUCGGAAUGUAGAUUCUGAGUGCCGAAGCGAAAGCGUUAAGUAUUCCACCUGGGGAGUAC
rnacentral:rRNA from 1 species